rnacentral:rRNA from 1 species
GAGGGGUGCAAACGUUAUUCGGAUUUACUGGGCGUAAAGGGUGUGUAGACGGCAUAUUAAGUUCGUUGUUAAAUCUUCCGGCCUAACCGGAAGCUCGCGAUGAAAACUGAUAAGCUUGAGGAUGGAAGAGAGAAGUGGAAUUCUCGGAGUAGCGGUAAAAUGCGUAGAUCUCGAGAGGAACACCGAUGGCGAAGGCAGCUUCUUGGUCCAUUCCUGACGUUGAGACACGAAAGCGUGGGUAGCAAACAGGAUUAGAUACCCUGGUAGUCCACGCCGUAAACGAUGAUCACUGGAUGUUGGUUUCGCUUUGCGAAAUCGGUAUCGAAGCUAACGCGUUAAGUGAUCCGCCUGGGGAAGUACGGUCGCAAGAUUA